rnacentral:rRNA from 1 species
UACGUAGGAGGCAAGCGUUGUCCGGAAUUACUGGGCGUAAAGCGCGUGUAGGUGGUGGGACAAGUCUGCUGUGAAAGCGCCUGGCUUAACCGGGCGAGGUCGGUGGAAACUGUCCGACUCGAGGACGGUAGAGGGGGGUGGAAUUCCCGGUGUAGUGGUGAAAUGCGUAGAGAUCGGGAGGAACACCUGUGGCGAAGGCGGCCCCCUGGGCCGGCCCUGACACUGAGACGCGAAGGCGUGGGGAGCGAACGGG